AGUGCAGAAUUCGUAAACUUAAGAUGUAAGUUGAUACAAAAGAAAAAAAAAACUUAAAUGCCAAAAUGCAAAAAUGGUCAUAGUUCGGAUAACAAAAUCUAAUUACCCCUUUAUUUAAUGACAAAACUUGCGUGGGGUCAUGGCCCAGAAAUUGCACGUAAAGCUGGGAAGUGUAAACUAAGUGAGUAUUGCGUGCACUGUGGCAUGUUCCUAUAUGAGUACAAAGAAGCAUGAUACGGAUGGAUUUAGUGAGGAGCAAAAAUGUUUUCCACACACCCAGAUAAAUUUCUUGACAUAUUUUGACUCUACAGAGAAGCGGCAUGUGUGUGUCUUGGAAGCAAUAUGGAUCGGAACAUGUUAAAAAUACCCCUAGACGGCCUACUGCAGCAAAUCAGGCCUAAAGAGGAUGAAUUGUGUUUAUACAUAUCAAAAGCUUGAUUCAUAUGAUGGAGUUGUCGAAAAAGUAGCAAACAAACAUGGUGUCGAUGACCCAUCCAAAAUAUGGCUUACAUCACACAACAUCUACUCUCAGCAACCGAAAGCUCAUCCUAAAAGAUACCAAGGAGCAGAGAACUUGUUGGAGAUGUUGCUGCAUUACAAUCAGCUGGAAACUCACAAUAUCAGGCUGCCGGAAGAAAGCACUGUCAAUGAUGUGCUUGAGGAGGAAGAAGAUUUGUUGGCAUGGAUGACCGAUCAAUUGCUUCAAAUGGGCAGUAAGGAUUAGGUCUCCAAUUGAAAACGAAUUGGCUUCAUGUACAUUAGUGUUGGAAGGUCAAAGCUUGAUUCAUUAUGAUGCAGUUGUUGAGAGAGUAGCAAACCAACUCGGAGUCGACGAUCCGUCCAAAAUGCGACUUACAUCGCACAAUAUCUACUCUCAGCAAUCAAAAGCUCAUCCUAUAAGAUACCAAGGAGUACAGAACUUGUUGGAGAUGCUGCUACAUCCCAAUCAGGUACACAUUCAUACAACUGUGAGUUGGGGUUCAUUUGAUGAGGAUGUGAAACUAGUAAACGUUAUUUUCUUGUUCACUACUCUUCUAGUAUUCUGUACUUCAAACUGCUAGAUAUACCUUGCUAGAUUACAAGAGCUGAGAAUCCUAAAAAUAGCUUCCAGCCAUGCAGCAAAAACUGAACUUGAAAGUCACAUUAUCAGCCUGCCGGAAGAAAGUGCUGUUAGUGAUGUGCUUGAGGAUCUCAGGAAGAAAGGAAGAAGUAUCACACCUCACAUGACAUGCCUAUGAGGAUAUACAAUUAGGAGGGUGGCAGCCAAUGGGUCCUUGCAUGGCCGGAUCUUGUAACCCAACAGGCUUAUUGUGGGGUGUUCCGAAUUUGUUGGCGUGGAUGACCAAUCAACGACUACAAAUGGGCGGUCGGGAUUAGGUUUCGGAUUGCUUGUAUGAGUUGUAUAUAGUAUUUAAGGUUGCCAAUUGAAAACUUGGUUUCAUGUACAUUAGUGUUUGGAGAGUGUGUUCUUUUAAUUAUAUAUACCGAAAUAUAUACAUAGAUAGAUGGAAAGUUAUUUAACUUGGUUUUUGCUUUCCUGCAGUAAUUGUCAUUUAGCUUUACAAAUGUUGUACUGAGAUAGUGUUUAUUAUAUUGUUUCUUUGUUGUUAUACAGUUCUAUCUCGAUGUAUUGAAGCCUUCAAUAAUAUUGGAACAUUGUGGUGGUUUAGUCAAUAGAACCUUACUGGAAAAUGCUUUGUACUAGGCUAGCUAUCAGGACAUUCUUGCAUCAUUAAUUCUGAAUAGGAAAGGUUACAAGGAGAGAAUGUCAUUUUGUUUUAACAUUGUCUCUGCUAUGUAAUAGAUUGAUAUGUAUAUAGAAGA